rnacentral:rRNA from 1 species
UACGAAGGGGGCUAGCGUUGCUCGGAAUCACUGGGCGUAAAGCGACACGUAGGCGGCUUCUUAAGUCAGGGGUGAAAUCCUGGAGCUCAACUCCAGAACUGCCUUUGAUACUGAGGAGCUCGAGUCCGGAAGAGGUGAGUGGAACUGCGAGUGUAGAGGUGAAAUUCGUAGAUAUUCGCAAGAACACCAGUGGCGAAGGCGGCUCACUGGUCCGGUACUGACGCUGAGGUGCGAAAGCGUGGGGAGCAAACAGG